rnacentral:misc_RNA from 1 species
UAAAUUGACAAAAUGAGUGUUUGCAGAUUAUAUUGAUAUUGGAAAAAUGUUGUUUAAAAUGAUAAAAUGAAGUAGAUUUGCACUGGCUUGCCUAAUGCCUCAACUUUUUUAAAUUUCAAAAUUUAAGCAAUGAUAUUAUAUGCUUAAAUAAUCAAAUUUAGAUUCUAAAAUUUUCCAAAUGUUCUCUGGGGUAACUAAAAGAGAAGACUGGAAUGAUUUUGAAAUUUUGCUUUGUCAACUAUAAUUAAAUCUCCAUAGAUUUGUUGACAAGAGUUUUAUGUGUAGAUGUAGGGCAUAUUUGCAAAAAAAA